rnacentral:rRNA from 1 species
UACGUAGGGGGCAAGCGUUGUCCGGAUUCAUUGGGCGUAAGGAGCGUGUAGGCGGCCAGGUAGGUCGGUUGUGAAAACUGGAGGCUCAACCUUCAGAGGUCGACCGAAACCAUCUGGCUAGAGUCCGGGAGAGGAGAGUGGAAUUCCUGGUGUAGCGGUGAAAUGCGCAGAUAUCAGGAAGAACACCCGUGGCGAAAGCGGCUCUCUGGAACGGUACUGACGCUGAGACGCGAAAGCGUGGGGAGCGAACAGG